AGAGUUUGAUCAUGGCUCAGGACAAACGCUGGCGGGGUGCAUGAGACAUGCAAGUCGAACGAGGUGCUACCGAGCUUGCUUGGUAGUUACCUAGUGGCGGACGGCUGAGUAACGCGUAGGUGACCUACCCGGAAGUGGGGAAUAACUGCCCGAAAGGGUGGCUAAUACCGCAUGUGGUCGACGAUUCGGUUCGUCGUCUAAAGGAGAAAUCCGCUUCCGGCGGGGCCUGCGUUCGAUUAGCUAGUUGGUGGGGUAACGGCUCACCAAGGCGACGAUCGAUAGCUGGUCUGAGAGGAUGAUCAGCCAGACUGGGACUGAGACACGGCCCAGACUCCUACGGGAGGCAGCAGUCGGGAAUUUUGCCCAAUGAGCGAAAGCUUGAGGCAGCAACUCCGCGUGAGGGACGACGGCCUUAGGGUUGUAAACCUCUUUUCUCAGGGAAGAUUCAAGACGGUACCUGAGGAAUAAGCGACGGCUAACUACGUGCCAGCAGCGGCGGUAAUAC
rnacentral:rRNA from 1 species